UGGGGAAUAUUGGACAAUGGGCGGAAGCCUGAUCCAGCAAUGCCGCGUGCAGGAUGAAGGCCCUCGGGUUGUAAACUGCUUUUGUACGGAACGAAAAGCCUGGGGCUAAUAUCCCCGGGUCAUGACGGUACCGUAAGAAUAAGCACCGGCUAACUACGUGCCAGCAGCCGCGGUAAUACGUAGGGUGCAAGCGUUAAUCGGAAUUACUGGGCGUAAAGCGUGCGCAGGCGGUUUUGUAAGACAGUGGUGAAAUCCCCGGGCUCAACCUGGGAACUGCCAUUGUGACUGCAAAGCUAGAGUGCGGCAGAGGGGGAUGGAAUUCCGCGUGUAGCAGUGAAAUGCGUAGAUAUGCGGAGGAACACCGAUGGCGAAGGCAAUCCCCUGGGCCUGCACUGACGCUCAUGCACGAAAGCGUGGGGAGCAAACAGGAUUAGAUACCCCUGUAGUCCCUGAGCGGGCUGGCAAGGCGCAU
rnacentral:rRNA from 1 species